rnacentral:rRNA from 1 species
UACGUAGGGGGCAAGCGUUGUCCGGAUUUAUUGGGCGUAAAGAGCUCGUAGGUGGUUCGUUAAGUCGGAUGUGAAAUCUCCAGGCUCAACCUGGAGGGGUCAUUCGAUACUGCCGUGACUAGAGGUCGGUAGGGGAGUGUGGAAUUCCUGGUGGAGCGGUGAAAUGCGCAGAUAUCAGGAGGAACACCCGUAGCGAAGGCGGCACUCUGGGCCGAUACUGACACUGAGGAGCGAAAGCGUGGGGAGCGAACAGG